rnacentral:rRNA from 1 species
CCUACGGGAGGCAGCAGUAGGGAAUAUUGGGCAAUAGUCGCAAGACUGACCCAGCCAUGCCGCGUGCAGGAAGAAGGCGCUCAGCGUUGUAAACUGCUUUUAUCAAGGAAGAAAAAGUUCUUGCGAGAACAAUUGACGGUACUUGAGGAAUAAGCCACGGCUAACUACGUGCCAGCAGCCGCGGUAAU